AGUGGGAUAGCUGGGUCAUAUGGUGGCUCCAUUCCUAGUUUUUGAGGCAUCUCCAUAUUGCUUUCCAGAGUGGUUGCACUAAUUUGAAGUCCCACCAGCAGU
rnacentral:pre_miRNA from 1 species